GGGUUGUGAGGUUAAGCGACUAAGCGUACACGGUGGAUGCCCUGGCAGUCAGAGGCGAUGAAGGACGUGCUAAUCUGCGAUAAGCGUCGGUAAGGUGAUAUGAACCGUUAUAACCGGCGAUUUCCGAAUGGGGAAACCCAGUGUGAUUCGUCACACUAUCAUUAACUGAAUCCAUAGGUUAAUGAGGCGAACCGGGGGAACUGAAACAUCUAAGUACCCCGAGGAAAAGAAAUCAACCGAGAUUCCCCCAGUAGCGGCGAGCGAACGGGGAGCAGCCCAGAGCCUGAAUCAGUGUGUGUGUUAGUGGAAGCGUCUGGAAAGGCGCGCGAUACAGGGUGACAGCCCCGUACACAAAAAUGCACAUGCUGUGAGCUCGAUGAGUAGGGCGGGACACGUGGUAUCCUGUCUGAAUAUGGGGGGACCAUCCUCCAAGGCUAAAUACUCCUGACUGACCGAUAGUGAACCAGUACCGUGAGGGAAAGGCGAAAAGAACCCCGGCGAGGGGAGUGAAAAAGAACCUGAAACCGUGUACGUACAAGCAGUGGGAGCCUCUUAUGGGGUGACUGCGUACCUUUUGUAUAAUGGGUCAGCGACUUAUAUUCUGUAGCAAGGUUAACCGAAUAGGGGAGCCGAAGGGAAACCGAGUCUUAACUGGGCGUUAAGUUGCAGGGUAUAGACCCGAAACCCGGUGAUCUAGCCAUGGGCAGGUUGAAGGUUGGGUAACACUAACUGGAGGACCGAACCGACUAAUGUUGAAAAAUUAGCGGAUGACUUGUGGCUGGGGGUGAAAGGCCAAUCAAACCGGGAGAUAGCUGGUUCUCCCCGAAAGCUAUUUAGGUAGCGCCUCGUGAAUUCAUCUCCGGGGGUAGAGCACUGUUUCGGCAAGGGGGUCAUCCCGACUUACCAACCCGAUGCAAACUGCGAAUACCGGAGAAUGUUAUCACGGGAGACACACGGCGGGUGCUAACGUCCGUCGUGAAGAGGGAAACAACCCAGACCGCCAGCUAAGGUCCCAAAGUCAUGGUUAAGUGGGAAACGAUGUGGGAAGGCCCAGACAGCCAGGAUGUUGGCUUAGAAGCAGCCAUCAUUUAAAGAAAGCGUAAUAGCUCACUGGUCGAGUCGGCCUGCGCGGAAGAUGUAACGGGGCUAAACCAUGCACCGAAGCUGCGGCAGCGACACUAUGUGUUGUUGGGUAGGGGAGCGUUCUGUAAGCCUGCGAAGGUGUACUGUGAGGUAUGCUGGAGGUAUCAGAAGUGCGAAUGCUGACAUAAGUAACGAUAAAGCGGGUGAAAAGCCCGCUCGCCGGAAGACCAAGGGUUCCUGUCCAACGUUAAUCGGGGCAGGGUGAGUCGACCCCUAAGGCGAGGCCGAAAGGCGUAGUCGAUGGGAAACAGGUUAAUAUUCCUGUACUUGGUGUUACUGCGAAGGGGGGACGGAGAAGGCUAUGUUGGCCGGGCGACGGUUGUCCCGGUUUAAGCGUGUAGGCUGGUUUUCCAGGCAAAUCCGGAAAAUCAAGGCUGAGGCGUGAUGACGAGGCACUACGGUGCUGAAGCAACAAAUGCCCUGCUUCCAGGAAAAGCCUCUAAGCAUCAGGUAACAUCAAAUCGUACCCCAAACCGACACAGGUGGUCAGGUAGAGAAUACCAAGGCGCUUGAGAGAACUCGGGUGAAGGAACUAGGCAAAAUGGUGCCGUAACUUCGGGAGAAGGCACGCUGAUAUGUAGGUGAAGUCCCUUGCGGAUGGAGCUGAAAUCAGUCGAAGAUACCAGCUGGCUGCAACUGUUUAUUAAAAACACAGCACUGUGCAAACACGAAAGUGGACGUAUACGGUGUGACGCCUGCCCGGUGCCGGAAGGUUAAUUGAUGGGGUUAGCGGUAACGCGAAGCUCUUGAUCGAAGCCCCGGUAAACGGCGGCCGUAACUAUAACGGUCCUAAGGUAGCGAAAUUCCUUGUCGGGUAAGUUCCGACCUGCACGAAUGGCGUAAUGAUGGCCAGGCUGUCUCCACCCGAGACUCAGUGAAAUUGAACUCGCUGUGAAGAUGCAGUGUACCCGCGGCAAGACGGAAAGACCCCGUGAACCUUUACUAUAGCUUGACACUGAACAUUGAGCCUUGAUGUGUAGGAUAGGUGGGAGGCUUUGAAGUGUGGACGCCAGUCUGCAUGGAGCCGACCUUGAAAUACCACCCUUUAAUGUUUGAUGUUCUAACGUUGGCCCCUAAUCGGGUUGCGGACAGUGUCUGGUGGGUAGUUUGACUGGGGCGGUCUCCUCCUAAAGAGUAACGGAGGAGCACGAAGGUUGGCUAAUCCUGGUCGGACAUCAGGAGGUUAGUGCAAUGGCAUAAGCCAGCUUGACUGCGAGCGUGACGGCGCGAGCAGGUGCGGGGUGUGCGGUGGUGAAUGAUCCGGUGGUUCUGAAUGGAAGGGCCAUCGCUCAACGGAUAAAAGGUACUCCGGGGAUAACAGGCUGAUACCGCCCAAGAGUUCAUAUCGACGGCGGUGUUUGGCACCUCGAUGUCGGCUCAUCACAUCCUGGGGCUGAAGUAGGUCCCAAGGGUAUGGCUGUUCGCCAUUUAAAGUGGUACGCGAGCUGGGUUUAGAACGUCGUGAGACAGUUCGGUCCCUAUCUGCCGUGGGCGCUGGAGAACUGAGGGGGGCUGCUCCUAGUACGAGAGGACCGGAGUGGACGCAUCACUGGUGUUCGGGUUGUCAUGCCAAUGGCACUGCCCGGUAGCUAAAUGCGGAAGAGAUAAGUGCUGAAAGCAUCUAAGCACGAAACUUGCCCCGAGAUGAGUUCUCCCUGACUCCCUGAGAGUCCUGAAGGAACGUUGAAGACGACGACGUUGAUAGGCCGGGUGUGUAAGCGCAGCGAUGCGUUGAGCUAACCGGUACUAAUGAACCGUGAGGCUUAACCUUACAACGCCGAAG
rnacentral:rRNA from 1 species